rnacentral:rRNA from 1 species
AAUGCUUGGGAACUUGCCUUUGCGAGGGGGAUAACAGUUGGAAACGACUGCUAAUACCGCAUAAUGUCUUCGGACCAAACGGGGCUUCGGCUCCGGCGCAAAGAGAGGCCCAAGUGAGAUUAGCUAGUUGGUAAGGUAAAGGCUUACCAAGGCGACGAUCUCUAGCUGUUCUGAGAGGAAGAUCAGCCACACUGGGACUGAGACACGGCCCAGACUCCUACGGGAGGCAGCAGUGGGGAAUAUUGCACAAUGGGGGAAACCCUGAUGCAGCCAUGCCGCGUGUGUGAAGAAGGCCUUCGGGUUGUAAAGCACUUUCAGUUGUGAGGAAAAGUUAGUAGUUAAUACCUGCUAGCCGUGACGUUAACAACAGAAAAGCACCGGCUAACUCCGUGCCAGCAGCCGCGGUAAUACGGAGGGUGCGAGCGUUAAUCGGAAUUACUGGGCGUAAAGCGCACGCAGGCGGUUUGUUAAGCUAGAUGUGAAAGCCCCGGGCUCAACCUGGGAUGGUCAUUUAAAACU